GAUGAACGCUGGCGGCGUGCCUAACACAUGCAAGUCGAACGGAGUCCAGCCUUUAAGACCUUCGGGUCAAAGAGGGGAAGACUGAGUGGCGGACGGGUGAGUAACACGUGGGCAACCUGGCUCAUAGAGGGGGAUAACAGAGAGAAAUUUCUGCUAAUACCGCAUAAGCACACACUGCCGCAUGGCAGAGGGUGAAAAGAGAAUCGCUAUGAGAUGGACCCGCGUCUGAUUAGCCAGUUGGCAGGGUAAGAGCCUACCAAAGCGACGAUCAGUAGCCGAUCUGAGAGGAUGAACGGCCACAUUGGGACUGAGACACGGCCCAAACUCCUACGGGAGGCAGCAGUGGGGGAUACUGCACAAUGGGGGGAACCCUGAUGCAGCGACGCCGCGUGAGUGAAGAAGUAUUUCGGUAUGUAAAGCUCUAUCAGCAGGGAAGAUAAUGACAGUACCUGAAGAAGAAGCCCCGGCUAACUACGUG
rnacentral:rRNA from 1 species